AGUGAACGCUGGCGGUAGGCCUAACACAUGCAAGUCGAACGGCAGCACAGGAGAGCUUGCUCUCUGGGUGGCGAGUGGCGGACGGGUGAGGAAUACAUCGGAACCUACUCUGUCGUGGGGGAUAACGUAGGGUAACUUACGCUAAUACCGCAUACGACCUACGGGUGAAAGCAGGGGACCUUCGGGCCUUGCGCGAUUGAAUGAGCCGAUGUCGGAUUAGCUAGUUGGCGGGGUAAAGGCCCACCAAGGCGACGAUCCGUAGCUGGUCUGAGAGGAUGAUCAGCCACACUGGAACUGAGACACGGUCCAGACUCCUACGGGAGGCAGCAGUGGGGAAUAUUGGACAAUGGGUGCAAGCCUGAUCCAGCCAUACCGCGUGGGUGAAGAAGGCCUUCGGGUUGUAAAGCCCUUUUGUUGGGAAAGAAAUCCAGCUGGCUAAUACCCGGUUGGGAUGACGGUACCCAAAGAAUAAGCACCGGCUAACUUCGUGCCAGCCGCCGCAGUAA
rnacentral:rRNA from 1 species